rnacentral:rRNA from 2 species
ACGGGAGGCAGCAGUGGGGAAUAUUGCACAAUGGGCGCAAGCCUGAUGCAGCGAUGCCGCGUGAGGGAAGAAGGUUUUCGGAUUGUAAACCUCUGUCAACAGGGACGAAAAUGACGGUACCUGUGAAGGAAGCUCCGGCUAACUACGUGCCAGCAGCCGCGGUAAUACGUAGGGGGCAAGCGUUAUCCGGAUUUACUGGGUGUAAAGGGAGCGUAGACGGUUUGGCAAGUCUGAAGUGAAAUGCGGGGGCUCAACUCCUGAACUGCUUUGGAAACUGUCGAACUAGAGUGCAGGAGAGGUAAGUGGAAUUCCUAGUGUAGCGGUGAAAUGCGUAGAUAUUAGGAGGAACACCAGUGGCGAAGGCGGCUUACUGGACUGUAACUGACGUUGAGGCUCGAAAGCGUGGGGAGCAAACAGGAUUAGAUACCCUGGUA